ensembl:lncRNA
CCCAAAUUUGAACAUCAUUGAUGUUCAUCGGAUUUACAGAGUGACGACAAACCCCGUCAGCAUGUUAGAUAAAGGAUUUAAGUUAUAUGCUGCAUCAUAUAUACACAACUACGAAGAUUAAGCUUCUGGAUUCAUCGCCAGUGCUCCUGUGUGGCAGGUGCUGUUAUGUGCAAUCACACAGUGGCACUGCUCUUCCAAACAGCACACUACUCACAACUCAGAGUGCCGGUUGUCCCCUGUGCAUAGCUGCACCGAAUCUGAACAGCAAUGGCACAAGCCACGGACAGUGGUGUGAAGCCAGGACCUAUCAACUCUAUGAUCUUCACUAAGCCGGUACCAAAUAGGAUGGCCCAGACUGAGUACGGAGUGGAUUCUACAGAGGCAUUGUGGGUCCAUUACCAGAUCCCUGACCUGACAAGCCCCUUGUGGAAAGUGCCUUUGGGCUGGUGCAGGAGGGCAGUGUUCUGUCAUGUCAGCAGCCGGUUUUGACAACCCGGCACAUCA